rnacentral:misc_RNA from 1 species
GUGAAUCAUCGAAUCUUUGAACGCACCUUGCACUCUUUGGUAUUCCGAAGAGUAUGUCUGUUUGAGUGUCGUGAAACUCUCAACCCCCCUGUUUUGUAAUGAGACGGGCGUGGGCUUGGACAGUGGCCGCUGUCGGACUCUUAAGAGACCGGCUCGGCUGAAAUUCAUGAGCGACCACAUUGAAUACAGUGACGGCUUGACUCGGCGUAAUAAUAUUAUCUCGCUGAGGACGUUACAUAAUUCAAACAGGAGCUUCUAAUGCAAUCAUCUUAAGCUUUAGACCUCAAAUCAGAUAGGGCU